rnacentral:rRNA from 1 species
UACAGAGGUCCCAAGCGUUGUUCGGAUUCACUGGGCGUAAAGGGUGCGUAGGUGGUUGCGCAAGUCUGAUGCGAAAUCUCCGGGCUCAACCCGGAAAUGGCAUUGGAAACUGCGUGGCUAGAGGGUUGGAGGGGGGACUGGAAUACUUGGUGUAGCAGUGAAAUGCGUAGAUAUCAAGUGGAACACCAGUGGCGAAGGCGAGUCCCUGGACAACACCUGACACUGAGGCACGAAAGCUAGGGGAGCAAACAGG